rnacentral:rRNA from 1 species
CAAUAGCGUAUAUUAAAGUUGUUGCGGUAAAAAAGCUCGUAGUUGGAUUUCUACCGAAGAUAGCCGGUCGGGUCUUCGACCUUGUAUCUGGUUUUGUCGUUGGUAUCCUCAUAGGGAACGUUUCUGCGCUUUAUUGCGUGGUGCGGUAUCUAUGACUUUUACUUUGAGGAAAUUAGAGUGUUCACGGCAGGCAAACGCCUUGAAUAUAUUAGCAUGGAAUAAUAACAUAGGAUCUUCGUCCUAUUUUGUUGGUUUCUAGGGCUAAGAUAAUGAUUAAUAGGGAUAAUUGGGGGCAUCUGUAUCAACGCGUCAGAGGUGGAAUUCUUGGAUUGCGUUGCGACAAACUACUGCGAAAGCAUUUGCCAAGGAUGUUUUCAUUGA